UACGUAGGGGGCUAGCGUUGUCCGGAAUCAUUGGGCGUAAAGAGCGUGUAGGCGGUCCGGUAAGUCCGCUGUGAAAGUCGGGGGCUCAACCCUCGAAUGCCGGUGGAUACUGUCGGGCUAGAGUGCGGAAGAGGAGAAUGGAAUUCCCGGUGUAGCGGUGAAAUGCGCAGAUAUCGGGAGGAACACCGGUGGCGAAGGCGGUUCUCUGGGCCUGACCUGACGCUGAGGAGCGAAAGCCAGGGGAGCGAACGGG
rnacentral:rRNA from 1 species